GCCGGGUGAUAGUCAGGCAUGGAAGUCCCAGAUACUUUGGAGGUGAAGGCUGAGAGAUUGCUUGAGCCCAGGACUUCUGAGGGCUGCGUGAUGCUAUGAUGGUCAGGUAUCUACACUAAAUUUGGCAGCAGUUUGGUGACUUCCCAAGGUAGGGGACUACCACGUUGCCUGAGGAGAAAUGAACUAUCCUAGGUCAGAAAUGAAGCAGGUCAAAACUCCCAUGCUGAUCAGUAAUGGAAUCAUGCCUGUGAGUAGCCACUGUAUCCCAGUCUGGGCAACACAGUGAGACCCUGUUUCUA
rfam:Otolemur garnettii contig161446, whole genome shotgun sequence.